GAUGAACGCUGGCGGCGUGCCUAAUACAUGCAAGUCGAGCGAACAGACGAUGAUCUUGCUCCUCUGACGUUAGCGGCGGACGUGUGAGUAACACGUGUAUAACCUACCUAUAAUACUGGGAUAACUUCGGGAAACCGGAUCUAAUACCGUAUAAUAUAUUGAACCGCAUGGUUCAAUAGUGAAAGACGGUUUUGCUGUCACUUAUAGAUUGAUCCGCGCCGCAUUAGCUAGUUGGUAAGUUAACGGCUUACCAAGGCGACGAUGCGUAGCCGACCUGAGAGGGUGAUCGGCCACACUGGAACUGAGACACGGUCAAGACGCCUAAGGGAGGAAGCAGUAGGGAAUAUUACGCAAUGGGCGAAAGCUUGACGGAGCAACGCCGCGUGAGUGAUGAAGGUCUUCGGAUCGUAAAACUCUGUUAUUAGGGAAGAAAAAAUGUGGAAGUAAAUAUGCACGUAUUGACGGUACCUAAUAAGAAAGCAACGGCUAACUACGUG
rnacentral:rRNA from 1 species